UAGGUUCAUUCCGACCCGAGCGUUGCGGAAACGAGGUUUACCGAGUUUCCGCAAAUCACCCUGCGCGAGGGUCGGGAUGAACCUAUCUUACACGAGCGGCUAUGGUAGAUGCUUUUUCUCCCACCUCAGUUAAACAAAAUUAAGUAAAAAUGUGUUGUUGUUUUCCUGGAACUCUUUUGUACUUAGUGAAAACAAUUGCGCAUGGAUAUUUGAUAAUUCGUGGUUGUUAUGGAUAUUCGUGCAGUGAUUCCGAUUAUUUUAAUAGUUAAAUAGUUCUAAUGAGAAUGAAGCAUUAUUUCUCGAAAGGUGGGUGAAAACUGUUUUAUGGUAACAUUUGAAGCGAGAAAUUAUUAAUAAUCGUUAUAAAUAUUGCCUUAAGACAUGGUUAUCAUGAUGCUACAGACGACAUUCUUCAAUUGACCUUACGACAGGAUUUGUUUGACAGGUCCUAUCAGCCAAUCAGAAUGCAGGGCUGAUAAGCCGUGUUGCUAUCCGCCAUUUUGUCCGUCAAACUGACCAGAGUCCGUCAUAUACAUGCUCUGGCAAUUCCUCGCCUUUUUAAGUAUUAUGGUAAAAAGGUGUUGUCAUGGACUUGUAAUUGGAUACAAGGUAGCCAGGCCGACUAAAGAUGGCUUCCAAUUCGUUCCGUAUUCGAAACCAGCGAGUUAUUUAGAAAAAUACAAGUGCUGUAUCAGACUCUGUGGAAGACCUCAUCUACAGCUGAACUUGGAAAUUUUGAAAGAUCGUUCAACGGCGAAACAUCUAUACGUCUGUACAAAAGUAUUUUUUUGAACAAAACUACUUAUUUCAAUCCGCUCAAAAUUUAUUUAAUACUGAAAUUGUCCGUGCAUGACCUAAAUAAGUGUUACUAUUUUUAAACUAUAAACAUCGUGCAUUUAUGCUUUGGCUUGUGUUGUCAAAUCGGUAUUAAUGGCCAUUUAAUAUCAGGUUCAACAUGGACACGAUUGAUUUCAUUCAAGAUAGAGGUAUUUUUGUUGAUACCGUUAUGUAGUUUUUAUAAACUGCUUUGCUUUCAAAGUAAAUCAGGAAAUAUCGUACAACUAAAUUUUUGUCCGAACCAUCGCAUGCUUCCGAAUCUCAUCUACUCGUAUGGUUCCUAUGUAAACAAUGGCUUUUGUAGCUGUCAUUCCGACACAUUUCAUAGAUUUCUUAUUUUCAUAUCAGCACUUUGUCGACGGGAAAUCCAAUCAAGAAAACCCUGACCCCCAAGCAGCUACUGUAUUUGACCAGCUCACACCAGCUAGGCCUCCUCCAAAACUCAGAUAAAUAUUUGAGCCACCAAAAAAAACAAAACGAGAACAGAUCGGUCUGAAUCGUUAAGACCUGAAGCUAACAUCAUAGAGGUACAUCCUUCCAAGAAUCCAUCAAAACAACAUGCUGAACAACUUCAAGAACUCUCUUCAAAAGACCACACUUUCCUGAAAUAAAUAAAAGAUGCCAAUAUUAAAAUAAAUCAGUUACAUGUAUUGUUAAAUAUUUUAAUACUAGCUGUAAAUGCUACUGCCUUUGAUGUUACUGCCUUUGAUGUUUGCUUCCAUGUAUAUCAUAAUGAAAUAUUGACAAGAUAAUAGCUAAUGUUU